UACGUAGGGUGCAAGCGUUAUCCGGAAUUAUUGGGCGUAAAGCGUUCGUAGGUGGUGCGUUAAGUUUGUGGUUAAAUCCGGUCGCCCAACGAUCGAAUCGUCACAAAAACUGGCGCGCUAGAGCUUGGCAGAGGCAACUGGAAUUCCGCAUGUAGGGGUAAAAUCCGUAGAUAUGCGGAGGAACACCAAAAGCGAAGGCAGGUUGCUGGGCCAAUGCUGACACUCAGGAACGAAAGCGUGGGGAGCAAACAGG
rnacentral:rRNA from 1 species